rnacentral:lncRNA from 1 species
GCUCAGGUUCCUAAAACUUAAUACCCACCAUGGUCAUUUUCUCCCCAGUGAUACAUACCAUAAACUUUUAAUCUGACCAUAGGAAUUCAAUGGUGGGUUGAAAAUGAAUCAAGAAAUAACAAUACAUAAAAUGAACAGACUUGUGGGGAUAAUGUUUUAAAGUGUAGUAUUAAUUACUCAGUCAUACCACUCAAUAAAUAGGGCAUGCCACUACUUUUCUUAAGAUGCUAAUUAUCAGCCAAUGUUCAAAGACAUUUUUAACUGUGGGCAAAUUAGUGGAUGGACUUUUUUGUCUGUCACUUUUUAAAAAAGUACUUAAGAUACAAGUUUUAUUAGUACCACAGUCUGCCUUCAGUAAUAUGCCUAAAAUAUUUUUCAGGGCCAGGAGCAUUCAGUUGAAAGAAAAUCUUUUUUACGACUGCAAAAUAGUAUUAAAACUAAUGCCCUGGUCCAAGAUUAGGUUUUUAAUGAUAUUAACAGUAGUCUGAUAAACAUCUAGAAGUCUGGCAUUGAGAAACAAAAGCUUGUACCUGACUAGACUGCCUCUGAUGUUAAGAUUUUAUGUAUAGCAUAAGGAAGCUAGCUCUGACUAUAUUUUCCUAAGAAUAAAGACCUAUUUUUGUAGC